AUCUUCAGGGCAAAACAUGAUUUAUUUUAAAAUGCAUUUUACUUAAUAUUACAGUAACACAUUAUUUUGUAACGUGUUACUAAAGUUACUACUUUGUAACUCUGGUUACAACUGACUCCACUCUCCCCUAGUUCAGUAAUAAUAGUGGAUGUAGUAAAAUACUUAAAGUUAAUCACAGUACAAAAAGUAUCAGAGAAAGCGGAAACCAUGCACCUGGCAACCCUAGCUCCGUUUCCACCUACGCACGCACGCGCAUAAAUUGCACGCACUUGCCUACUAUUAAUGAAUCCCUUAACACAUGCACUGUUAACAGCACAUGAAAAACGAUUUACUUCUGAGUUUGCUGACAAAACAGUGUAAGUAGUGAAAGAAAAUGUAGGCCUGCAAUAUUCUGCUUUUUUCUUUCUUUAUUUUUUAAAAUCUUUUCUUUCUUUCUUUCUUUUUUCAUAUGGACAUUGGGCAAACAAGAAUCAAUUUGCGGUCAUUCUCGUUUUGUCCACUAGGUGGCAGUAGGUAACGAUUUCGUGGUGAAAUGGUACAGAAGAAGAACUGUAGUCAAAACGUGAAUUCUUCAUCAACACAAACCACUCGCUUGGGAGUCAUGAGCUGCUUGUGGAUGUGUAAUCCCAGGAGAUUCAAGCUAAAAAUAGCUAAUGGGAAGCAAGGAGAUAACAGAAAUGAGAGUGCAUAUUUUGAUCUCAGCUGCUCUCAGCCAUACAUGUGACAACAAACAGUACUUUGAUUUCAACUGCUCGCAGUCGUUCACAAAUAACCAUAACCAAUAGUAUCAGCAGUGCCUUAACUACUACUCAAACUGGGGAUAUGAUCAGAGCGCAGGCCACCGGUCAUAACACUGCUAUAAUUAGGUUUGUGAAGAUACAAGUGAAGAUGAUUGGCUUGAAGACCCCAGUUUAGACUUGGAUGUGGUAGAAACAAACAGACAGUUCAUGGUGGACAGUAAGGAGCUCUACGUGCCCUUAUAGACUGCCAUUGGCCUCCUUUUGAAUUUCCGGACUCUCUUGAAUACCCUUCUGAAUACUCCAUAGAAUGAAUAGACAGACUGUGUAUCCUCUUGUAUGAUAGAAGACUAAUGUGGUCCCUUCAGAAGAUCCCGUGUGAAGGUUUGAGAAUGGAGUUUUAAGCCAUCUUCUCCAGUGCCCUCAGAAAUGGGAGUGAGUUGAAACAACAGAUAUCUGAAACCUCCAGAUUUUGUUAUGGUGGUGGGUGUAUUAUUGUCUGCUGACCAUGUUAAAGGGUAUUUCAUACUGAAAUUGCUUUUUGUCAGAUCAGAUGAUGUUUGCCCCAAACAUCCUUUGUACUAUUGCCAUUAUCAUUAUUGUAAACAAUAAGAGUCUUUCAGGAUUUUAUUCUAUAGAACUUGUUGAUUUUUCUGCACUGUUCUGUUGGUGUUCCUAAGGCAAAUAUGUUAAAAGAAUGGUUUCUUGUUUUUUGUAAAAUCAUCAUUGUCAUGAAGUCUGCUCUAUCGGUGUUGUUGCAACUAAUUGUACCUCCAGGGCCUUCAACUUUUCUGUCCAACCUCCUCUGCUAUAAAUCAUCACUUAUGUUUAUUCCCCACAGUUAAUUUACCACACAACCUGCAGCAAGAUAAUUUAUCAUUAGUAUGAUGGGUAGCUGAUUAACUGAAACCAGUGGUUUCACCAGUGAUCGUAGAUACAUAGCAUGUUUUUCAUUCUCUGAUUUCUACUAGAGCAUCAGCAUGAUCUAGCAUCAAACACAUUGCCAUAAUAUAUUCUCAAAUUGUAAUACUUCCUUUGAAACCUACAUCUGUAUGUAUCCCUGGUUAUGGGUAAAAAUGUGUUGUCUGUGUGCCUUUCUUAUUAUAUUACCUCCUCCACAGAGUUUUUAGACUGAUGGUAUUCUUAGCCCAUAAACCAGUAUCAAGAUGUAUGUAUUGAUGGAGACUUCAAAUCACUUCUUUAAGUUGCUCUGAAUAAGAACAUCUGUAAAAUGGCAUAAAUGUAAAUGGAUAAUUGUAUGCUAUUGGCUUGCUGAGUUUGAGGUGUUGCUAUUUCCAGCUACAACAAUUGUCUUUUACUUAUAUUGCCUAUGAAUACAAUUUAGAAAUGCUGACUUGUUAAAGUGGACAAAUUUCAAAAUGGGAUCUAUAAUAAAUACAUUAAUAUUUUAAAUUACGUCUAACCAGCAAACCUCUAUUGGGGACCAGCUCUGGGAUAUUUAUGAAAGAUGUGGGCUGUAAGCUUACAGAAAUACCUUAGAGCAAGACCUUAAAACAUUCUGGAUCAUUGUUUAUCUUGCUAAUAUUUUAGUGUAGUUUCCUUAGAAGUGAACACGUAUGCAGAAACUGCAUGGACAUUUAUGUUAGCUGACUUGCACUGGACAAUAUUCAUUUUGGUAUGUGAGAAAAGGAAAAUCAUAUUUUCUAUUUUCACAGCACA